rnacentral:lncRNA from 10 species
ACUCCUCUUGACUUUAGACUUCAUGACUCUUCUAGAUGUUAGUCUUCAAGCUGAAGAAGCAUUGGUGAGGAAGCAAGUGGAAAAUUGGCUGGAGUUGUCAAAUACCAAGGCAGGUGCAGAAAACUGAGCCCUGGAACAUCAAAUAUUACAACAGAGGAAACUUGAAAUCUGUAAGUGUCAUAAAAAUUGCAAGUACUGUUGACUCAGAUGUACUGAGAGGUUCACAUUAUCACUGCCAACUCUGCUACGUUGCCUACAAAGGAAUCCACACACCAACACUGGUCAGAAGACUUUCACUGGAGAUAUCCCUCCCUAUGCCUGGAAGAAAGGAAUAUUCUUAUCUCUGAAGACAUUGGGAAACACAAUAAUAGCUGAAAAACAGGCCUUGCUAACUUCUCU